rnacentral:rRNA from 1 species
CAGCAGCCGCGGUAAUACGUAGGGUGCAAGCGUUAAUCGGAAUUACUGGGCGUAAAGCGUGCGCAGGCGGUUUUGUAAGACAGAGGUGAAAUCCCCGGGCUCAACCUGGGAACUGCCUUUGUGACUGCAAGGCUAGAGUACGGCAGAGGGGGAUGGAAUUCCGCGUGUAGCAGUGAAAUGCGUAGAUAUGCGGAGGAACACCGAUGGCGAAGGCAAUCCCCUGGGCCUGUACUGACGCUCAUGCACGAAAGCGUGGGGAGCAAACAGGAUUAGAUACCCCAGUAGUCCCUGUCUCUUAUAC